GACCAAGGAGUCUAACAUGUGUGCAAGUCAUUGAGAAUGUUAAACUCAAAGGCGUAAUGAAAGUGAAGAUUCCAUUUUAGGAAUUUGAGGAGAGAUCAGUUUCUUUGUGUUGGGCUUCCGYAAGGUUGACUGGCCAAGAGCUGCGCAUCUCCUGGACGUCUUAACCUUCGAAGGUGGGGCGUACCUAGAGCAUACACGUUGGGACCCGAAAGAUGGUGAACUAUGCCUGGUCAGAACGAAGUCAGGGGAAACCCUGAUGGAGGUUCGUAGCGAUUCUGACGUGCAAAUCGAUCGUCGGAAC
rnacentral:rRNA from 1 species